rnacentral:lncRNA from 1 species
UAUUCACAGGUGCAAUCAUAGUGCACUACAGCCUCAAACUCCUAGCCUCAAGCAAUCCUCAUGCCUCAGCCUCCAGAGUAGCUGGGCCUACAGGUACUUAACACCUCAUCUGGCAUCCCCCAGUCAGAUAUUUGGAUGAGACCCCUGCCUUGGCUAACACCUUGAUGAAAACCUGUGGAAGGUUCUAAGGCAGGACCCUCAGCGCAGCCACUUCUCCAGGCACUCGGCAGAGAGAACGCGCGUAGGCGUUGCCCUGGCAACGCCGGGAUGCCCAGCAACAAGUCCGCGGCGUGUAUCACGUGCUCGGCGCGGACCAAUCCGAGGGCCCGCCGGGAAGCAGGAGCAAUAGCAAAAAUUGGGAAUGGGAAGAAACAGGUACCAGCCAGGACACCUGAACGAACUUGGAGCUCAGGAACCCAGGAGGGGAUUGGAGAGAGUGGGGAGACUCCAUGGUCCACAAUGAAUGCUCCUUCCCCAUCCGAAAAAAUCCCCUAGCCCAGUUUUUGGGCAGAUGCCAGACUUUUAUUCUGAAGCGUGGGCCACAACCUAUGAGGUAAUCUUUGGAGCUUCAUUCUGAGGCGGAAUCCCAUUGGCCAGUUGGGGAAGCCCCUCCCAGGAUUCCUGGCGCUCCGCCUUCCCUGAAGCCUAUAAAAGCGCAGGUCCCCGCCUCGGCAGCCACGGGACACCUGCAUCUGCCAACAAGACUGGAAGCAGAAAGGGACAGAGACGGCGAAGUUUGACGGUCUGGAAAGCAGAGACCAGCAGGGCUGACUGCUUGGGAGCACCAAAUAUCCGGACAGCGCCUCUCGGGAGGUCCGAGAAGAGAACCGCGAUCUGUUUCAGCACCGGGGCUCAGGACAGUUCCCAGCGGGCUCCGUUUCGUCUCCAGAACCCUGGACAGCUCCUCCAGCUUGGAAUGCACUCCCUCCACCUCCAACCAGAGCUCCCCACAACUGACCCUGCCUUCUUCUGCAAGCUCCAUUUCAUCAAGGGAAACGAUCCUUAUUGCCUCACCAUUUCCCACGUGAAGUCUGUAUUGACAUUCUCAUAGACCUGGGAUAUUGUGUCUGCAGCACAUAGUCCAAUUAUUUUCAUGUUAUCUACUGACAGGUCUAUUUGUCUCCCUGUUACACUGUGAGCUCCGUGAGGGCAGAAACAAUGUUAGUAUUUUCACUGCUGUGUCCCCAGCGCCUGGUCCGGGGCCCGGCACACAGCAGGCAUAUAAUAAGCAUGUGUUGAAUCAAUAAAGGCAUCAAAGAAUAAACCAAUACAUCAAUCAAUAAAUGAAUGAAUGGCCUCAGCACACACAGGAAGAUCCUUCUUCUAGGUCUCCCCCAGAGAGAUACUGGAGGGCAAUGGUUGCUGGAGGUGUUUAUUGGGGAAGCAUAAUUGAAUUUGUGGACACUUAAGGGCCGGCCAGCCAACUCACAGCCCCAAGAGAGAGAGCCAGGCUCAUUUAAUUAGCAAUUACAAGGCACUGAUUCCUCAUUAGCUCUGGCAACCCUCGUCUCCCUCCUCAGCCCCAGACAAAUGAAAUCUUUCUCUCUCUCCCAGGAGUACUGCCUCAGUGGGUCCAUUAACAAGCAGAGAAAAUGAGAUUAGAAGACACCUAAAUGCCAGAGGCACUUUAUGAAUGGGCUGAGCAGAGGGAGGUUCAAUGUCUGGGUUAGGUCUAAUUGUGGGAGGUUUCCUGGUCUAUUUAGAAUUGCCCCCUGGGAAUGCAAGGUCUUUCAGAAAGGAAAAGGCACACAGAUAUUGCCUUCUGGGGUCCUCAAUGGAGGAGGACAUUCUGCUAUGGGUGUCUCCCAGUCACCCCAAAUUAAUCAUUUCAAAGUGAACACUCAAUCUGCCCAGCCCCUAGCUUCCUCCCCUGACAUGCCCAUGAAUAUGACAGUCCCUCUACAUGCCCAAGAUCCUCCCCUCCUCAUCCACUCCCCAUGAUCCCCAAGAUGAGUCACUGUGCUCAAAUCCAUCCUCUCUCCUCCAGCCCUCUGCCUCCAUGACCUCCCUCCAGCCCUCUGCCUCCAUGACCUCCGCCUCCCUGCAUGUCCGGAUCUCCUCACUGUCUCCCCUCUGAGCAUACACACACAUACAGCCUGUUCAUUCUCUACAUGCAGCGAGGGGACUUUCCAGAACACACAUCUGACCAAGUUCCACUCCUGCCUGUCACCCUUCCAAGAGCCCCACUGACUGCAGAAUAACGUUCAAAUAUCCGGUUGGGCGUGGUGGCUCAUGCCUGCAGUCCCAGCACUUUGGGAGGCCAAGGUGGGUGGAUCACUUGCACAGGACCACAGGCGUGUGCCACCACACCCAGCUAAUUUUUAUAUUUUUGGUAGAGACGGAGUUUCACCAUGUUGGCCAGGCUGACCUCAAGUGAUCCACCCGCCUCAACCUCCCAAAGUGCUGGGAUUACAGGCAUGAGUCACUGCACCGGUCUAAUUUUUUCAGAGUCUCACUCUUGCCCAGGCUGGAGUGCAGUAGCAUGAUCUCGGUUCACUGCAACCUCUGCCUCCUGGUUUCAAGCGAUUCUCUUGGCUCAGCCUCCUGAGCAGCUGGGAUUACAGGCACGUGCCACCACACUUAGCUAAUUUUUGUAUUUUUAGUAGAGAUGGGGGUCUCACCAUGCUGGCACAGUUGGUCUUGAACUCCUGACCUCAAGUGAUCCACCCACCUCGGCUUCCCAAAGUGCUGGGAUUACAGACGUGAGCCACCGCGCCCGGCCAGCCUUUAUUGAUUCUUUUUAAAGCCACACUAACCUUUUAUUUUCCCCCAAAGACCCCUGGGAGCCCUCAGUUUUUCCUGGCAGUUUCAUCUUUGUACCCCUGACCUCCCCACACACACGCCUAGCUCAGUGCUGGCAUCCAAUAUUCACUUUGGGUAUAAAUGCUUGUGCCUGAGCCUAUCACCUUCAUCACACAGAAAAUCCUGGAGGCCACACACCCCUGUAAAGACGAGCCAUUACCCACAGAGGUCCAACCAACUUACCACCCUCUCCCAGCCACCCCCAAGGACCCAGCUUGCAGCUGCCUGCUCAAUGGCUUUAGAAACUAAAAAAGGUGAAUGAGUUUCCAUCACUGCCCUCCUGGGCUUUGCCGUUAUGGCUGGUUAACUUGACAGAAGAACACAUUAUACUUCAUUUUUUGCUGUUGUCUUGUUGGAAAAAAAAGUGACAGCUGGGUGCAGUGGUGCACACUGUAGUCACAGCUACUCAGGAGAAUUGCUUGAGCACAGGAAUUGGAGGCUACACUGAGCAAUGAUCGCCUCACUGCACUCCAGCCUGAACGACAGAGCAAGACCCUCUUAAAAAAUACGUGAGAGAGGGUGCGUAUGAUGGCUCAUGCCUGUAAUCCCAGCAGUUUG